rnacentral:rRNA from 1 species
UUCUUCGGAAGGAAUUUUGGGAAGGAAAGCGGCGGACGGGUGAGUAACGCGUGAGUAACCUGCCUAUCAGAGGGGGACAACAUUUCGAAAGGAAUGCUAAUACCGCAUGAAAUUGUUUUAUCGCAUGAUAGAAUAAUCAAAGAUUUGUCGCUGAUAGAUGGACUCGCGUCUGAUUAGAUAGUUGGUGGGGUAAAGGCCUACCAAGUCGACGAUCAGUAGCCGAACUGAGAGGUUGAUCGGCCACAUUGGGACUGAGACACGGCCCAUACUCC